UAUUUGUAGCGGCUCCGAGCUGAAAUACCUAAAGUGCAUACCAGGGGAUUUCGGCCGAUGGGAUUACCCGGAAACAGGUGAUCCUCCCGCAUCCCGGCAAGGCCGGGGUAAAUUGGAAAGGAGAAAGAGCAAAUUUUGC
rnacentral:ncRNA from 1 species